UCGCCUGUUUAUCAAAAACAUGUCUUUGAGGAUAAAAUUCAAAGUCAGGCCUGCCCGCUGGUUAAACUGAAGGGCUGCGGUAUUCCUGACCGUGCAAAGGUAGCAUAAUCGUUUGUCUUUUAAAUGGGGGCUAGAAUGAAGGGUUUGACAAGAGUGAUACUGUCUUUCAAAUAAAAUUUGAAUUUUACUUUUAUGUGAAAAGGCUUAAAUAAAAUGAAGGGAAGAUAAGACCCUAUAAAGCUUAAAUAAGAAAAAUUAUUGCAAUACGAUCUUAAAUUAAAAGUUUGUAGUAAGUACUUAUUAUGUUGGGGCGACAGUAAUAAAAGAAAAUAACUAUUAUGAGUAAGGAAUAUGAUAAGUAGAAAUAAAAUGAUCCUUUAAUAAAGAUUUAAAGAAAAAGUUACUUUAGGGAUAACAGCGUAAUUUUCCUUGAGAGUUCGUAUCGACAGGAGUAGUUACGACCUCGAUGUUGAAUUAACAUGACUUUAUGGGGCAGCCCCUAUAAAAGUUGGUCUGUUCGACCUUUAAUAUGUU
rnacentral:rRNA from 1 species